rnacentral:rRNA from 1 species
GACGAACGCUGGCGGCGUGCCUAAUACAUGCAAGUCGAACGCUUCUUUCCUCCCGAGUGCUUGCUCUCAAUUGGAAAGAGGAGUGGCGGACGGGUGAGUAACACGUGGGUAACCUACCCAUCAGAGGGGGAUAACACUUGGAAACAGGUGCUAAUACCGCAUAACAGUUUAUGCCGCAUGGCAUAAGAGUGAAAGGCGCUUUCGGGUGUCGCUGAUGGAUGGACCCGCGGUGCAUUAGCUAGUUGGUGAGGUAACGGCUCACCAAGGCCACGAUGCAUAGCCGACCUGAGAGGGUGAUCGGCCACACUGGGACUGAGACACGGCCCAGACUCCUACGGGAGGCAGCAGUAGGGAAUCUUCGGCAAUGGACGAAAGUCUGACCGAGCAACGCCGCGUGAGUGAAGAAGGUUUUCGGAUCGUAAAACUCUGUUGUUAGAGAAGAACAAGGACGUUAGUAACUGAACGUCCCCUGACGGUAUCUAACCAGAAAGCCACGGCUAACUACGUG